UUGUAGCGGCAGGCAGGCGCUAUUUCGCCUUCGCCUUGGCGCCUACGGCCUGUAGCUUUCGCGCGCGCGUGUUGUUUAACCUUUCGCUCGGCAUUUUAAACGUUCCCCGGAAUUCGUUUCGCCCGCUCCUCGUUGCUAGCUCGGCCGAAGCCUGCCGUUAACGUUUUUUGUGUCUCUCGCCCGCGGAAGCCGUACGGGGGCGCUUUCCGUCGUCGUCGACGUCGUCUCACAUUCUUCUUUCUGCUUGCGUUGUACUGCGCCGUUAUAGAUGGGAAAUAAUGCGCGUACCGGUGCGGCCAUAAUGCGCGCUUUCUAAAAUCCGCGAAAAACCUGCAACGUCCCGUUUUUUGUUUUUUCCUGUGGCCUGCUCGGCGGGACCGCGGUUCAAGACGCCUGAACUGUGGCCGUGGUUUUUUUCUGUCUCUGGAAGUGUGCCUGGAUUUGUGCCGGCGACUAGGGGCUGUACUUGCGCGCAGAGGCGAAGCCGAUCGCCUUGAACAAUGGGGGCCAUAUAGGCCUCGGGCCUUCUGAAGAAUGAAUAUUCUCGGCGAAGAAGGCCUUGCCUUGCCAGCAAGAUUGAGGGACACCGAGUUCGAUGACACGAAUGGCGACAUGCUUUCCUCUCCGUCAAUUGUUGACGUCACACGCCUCGGACGUGCUGUAUGAUAAGAUUAAAAGAUAAGCCUUGAACGUGAUGAGCAUUUCGGGAGGCCGGACCAAUUAAUGAGUGAAGUCGCGAAAAUCGGCGAUGAAGAGAAAUUGAGACGCAUUAGGAAAU